rnacentral:rRNA from 1 species
AUGACCCCCCUCGUCCUCCUCUCGUUCACCGUAGUGCCACCAGUAGGAGGAGCCCUUGCCCGAUCCAGCGCCUCCUUCACCGCUCCGGCGGCCCCUCGCCACCAGCCGUCGCCGGCGACCACCACAGCAGGCUGCCGCCCCGCACCGUCCCCCUGUUGUCAUCUCAACGUCAAGCUCCCGCGCGUCUCUCUCUCUUUCUGGCUGCUCAUGCCGCCAUGGCUGCGCCUUGCCUCCUCCUCUUUGCCACGCACCACUCUCCCAUGGCGAUGUUGCCGCUGCUCUUGUACUGAUCCUCAGUUGUCGAGCGUCGCCUCCCGCUCGUCCUCUGCUGCACGGCCACGCCAUCGCCUCGUCUCUGAACAUCUGUGUAAGACGGCGGGAGGACAGCGGGUGGAAUUCAAAUGA